UGGGGAAUAUUGGACAAUGGGCGAAAGCCUGAUCCAGCCAUGCCGCGUGUGUGAAGAAGGCCUUCGGAUUGUAAAGCACUUUAAGUUGGGAGGAACAACACUAAGAUAAUACCUUGCUGUUUUGACGUUACCGACACAAAAAGCACCGGCUAACUCUGUGC
rnacentral:rRNA from 1 species